ACGUAUUUCCUUUUCGCCAUGCGGUAUAAAGUUCUAUUGGCUUGCGUAAAUCUUCCAGAAUUUGGAUCGAACGUUGUGAAUCUUCGACGCGGAACCCCUCUGAUCACUACUUUAGUGGAUUAAAACAUCGUUCGUGCUGUCUUCGAGUCCGGUUAAAGUCGUUUCUUGCACGUUGAAGCUUCUCGUUUUAGCUUAGCCUAGCUUGCUAACAAAGAGGCGUUUGCGAGCAACAGUUCCCUCAGCAGAGAACAAGGCUGAAGUAAAGUCUUGUUGUUCUUGCCACCAACUCGUAAGGUUUGACAGAGCGGACACUUACGUGUGUUUAAAAAAAAAAACCGGGCACACCAACGACUGAAUUCUGCCGGUUGUUUUCUGGGAGUUAAAUAUUAUUUCGUUUUUAUUAUCAUCUCCGUAAUGUGAUGUCUGAAUCUGGCGUCGUGGUGGAUGACAUGUAGAACAAACGCUGUGGGACUCUUCAUGCAGCCCGAUUGGGGAGCUUGUCGCUUUAAAUAUUUCUGCCGUAAAGGUUCUUGGGUAAAACAUCUCCCUUCACUUCUCGCCAUGUGGGAGAAUAGACUAUUGUUCUAAAACAAAUCUUUGGGAAUAUGGACAAAAUUUUGUGAAUCCUCGACGCAGAAUGCGUUGUCUCGUCCAGGUUGAAGCUUUUCGGCCCGAUCUUAGCUUAGUUUGCUAACAAAGAGAUUCAUUGAGCAACACUCCGCCACCAACAUGAAAUAAUGUCUCAUAAAAUCCUGAAAUUUUUUUGGAAUAACUGGAUUUGAAAAACAGCAACAUUCUAUCAGCGUUCUGCAUCGACUUAAUCAGGAUUCUGAAUGCCUCUGUCUAUCGAGGCCUGUGACAAGACGUCACACGCAGGUGAUUUCCAGCCUCGCACCAUUUUGGAAGACAAGUGUACUGGCGGCUGGAACUCCACGCACAACAUUUCAGGCAAGCCAGCACACCUGUAUGACUGCACUAAUCCAGACUGGGCUCCAACCAACAAACAAUCAUGGAAAUCAAUGGACUAUUCCCUAUGUACAGCAAAUAGAAAUAAAAUGUGUCCCUUUAAAGUGCA